AUUCAACUGAUGAGUCCAAAACAGAGCAAAACGCGCGUACUGGAU
rfam:Schistosoma mattheei strain Denwood, Zambia genome assembly, scaffold: SMTD_scaffold0004095